rnacentral:rRNA from 1 species
GACGAACGCUGGCGGCGUGCCUAAUACAUGCAAGUCGAGCGGACAUAAGAAGCGUGCUUUUUAAGUUCGCGGCGGACGGGUGAGUAACAAAUGGGCAACCUACCUGUCAGACUGGGUGAAAUUAGGGCAACAGGAGCGAGCACAGGAUAAUCCUUUUCUACAAACGUAGAAAUGAUGAAAGACAGACGACGUUGUCACUUACAGAAGGGCCCGCGGCGCAUUAGCUAGUUGGUGAGGUAACGGCUCACCAAGGCGACGAUGCGUAGCCGACCUGAGAGGGUGAUCGGCCACACUGGGACUGAGACACGGCCCAGACCCCUACGGGAGGCAGCAGUAGGGAAUCUUCCGCAAUGGACGAAAGUCUGACGGAGCAACGCCGCGUGAGUGAUGAAGGUUUUCGGAUCGUAAAACUCUGUUGUUAGGGAAGAACAAGUGCGAGAGUAACUGCUCGUACCUUGACGGUACCUAAUCAGAAAGCCACGGCUAACUACGUG